rnacentral:lncRNA from 1 species
AGAGGCAGGGUGGGAAGAUGCCCAGACUUGCACAGCGUUUUUGAAGGAACAGAUAAAGGCCAGGAAGAAUCUGGGAUCCUACUGACCAACUCUUGCGUAAAAAGAGAAGAAUUUUUAUCCAUUCAGUGGGUGCAGGCACAAUAAAUGCCUUGCUGGAUUGCCUAUUAGAGGAUGAAGUUAUUAGCCAGGAAGACAUGAACAAAGUGAGAGAUGAAAAUGACACUGUCAUGGAUAAGGCUCGAGUCUUGAUUGACCUUGUUACUGGAAAAGGACCCAAGUCUUGCUGCAAAUUUAUCAAGCAUCUCUGUGAAGAAGACCCUCAACUUGCCUCAAAGAUGGGUUUGCACUAAGAGAGAAGAUGGAACUCUGGAGCACUUCAGAGACUUCCCAGAGCUUCUUCCAAGGGAGAAGAUAUUCUCGUG